UUUGACAAGAGAGCGGACUCAAAUUUAC
rnacentral:piRNA from 1 species